rnacentral:rRNA from 1 species
GACAGAGGUCCCGAGCGUUAGGCGGAAUCACUGGGCUUAAAGCGUGUGUAGGCGGAUCGUUAAGUGCCUUGUGAAAUCCCACGGCUUAACCGUGGAACUGCUUGGCAUACUGGCGGUCUUGAGCCACCUAGGGGCAACCGGAACAAACGGUGGAGCGGUGAAAUGCGUAGAUAUCAGGAGGAACACCGGUGGCGAAGGCGGGUCUCUGGGCAGUAACUGACGCUGAGGAGCGAAAGCGUGGGGAGCGAACAGG